UUCCUUAGAGCCUCACAUAGUCGGUUCCUUUCUCUAACUCUUGUCUACAUCUUACUUCAUUGUCGGCUGAGAAUUUUCGUGUGGCUGUUGCUUCAUUUGCUGUCAUCGUCAUCACUGUCGACCUCAUCGUUCUCGUGCCAGCACAGUGGAGCUGAGUUACUGAUUCUCUUCCCUCUUAUCGUUGCUGUUCGGUGUUAUUGGAGAUUAAUCUUGGAGCACCAUUGGAAUGAGCAAGGAGUUGUGGGAGUUGGACUGUAAAAUUUUAAAAACUCAGGUGAGUGGGUAGUAUUUUGAAUCAAUUUUAGAAAAUCCUUUUAUUUAAAUUUUAUUAUUAUUCUUUUAUAAAUUAUACAAAUAUUAUUGUUAAUUCUAUUUUUCUAACAUUUGUUUUAUUAAGGCAAGUAUGUUGAUUUUUUGAUAAUUUAUAUUAUUGACAAGCAACAUUUGAAACAGAUAUAUGAUAAACAAUAUUAUUUCUCAAAAAUAGUUGAAUUACUUAAUUUUAUGUAGAUAUAAAGAUUCAUAUGCAAUAAUUCAUGUAUGGAGGAAAUGAUAAUAAUUUGGACAUUGAAAAAUGAUAGUUGAAUAGUGAUUGAAAGUGGAACUUUUAAAAUUAUUUUUCUUGCUCCAUACAUGCUUGAUUUUAUUAAGGGGGACUGAAUUCAGAACGCUGGAUGCUAACGGUAGUCCCGUUAGCCCUUGGCGCGCCAUGGUACACCUAGUUAGUAGGGUGCAUUGGAGAUGCUAGCCCCAUGUGCUGGCCAACACACAUGGAAUGGAGGAUGUAGUUUCGUGGAUAUUAUCCAUGCCUGUUAUUCGUGAGCUUUAUGCUUACGUCUAUUUUUCGUGGCUUCUUGCCACGCCGGAUAUGUUACUUACUCUCGUGGACUAUGUGUUCACGUCUGUUAUUCGUUCUGAUAAAGCUUAUGGUUUUUAUACUAAUUUCUUUAAAGGCAUUUUUUAUUGCACCAUUACUCAAAAUUUUAUAUAUAUUAUAAACUUUUGUUUAUAAACUUGUCUGGUUCUAAUAUUGUUGGUGGUUCCACGAUUAUACCAUUAAGCAAACUCGUUAUUUAUUGUUAAUUAAGGCAAGUGUUUCAUUAUUUCUUGAUUUGUUUAAAUUAAAUUGGUAGUUAUUAUUUUCACAUUUUUAUUUAUUUAUUUAUUUAUAAUUUAUAAACUUGACUGGAACGCUACUCACUAAAAUUUAUUUGGUCUCAGAUAUUAUAGCUGACCCUGCGCCUCUAACUGACCAUUGAGGGCUAUUCUUGCUUUUUGGAUAAAGGAAAUAUAUUGUGAUUACUCUUUUUGGUAAAAUCUUAUAUUGUAUUUUGUAAAUUAUAAGUUAGUGCUCCACGUACCAUAUAGCUGAAUCCUAGUUUUAUUUUGUUAUUGUGAAAAUUUCUAGAAUGGAGCUAGUCUCCUUGCUAAUUUGAUUGACAGGUUGUGUAGUUGUUGUGAAAAUUUCGGGAGGUCCAAAUUAUAGGGGAGAUUAUGUCAAAAUUUUCUACAAAAACUUUAAAAACUUAAACUUUACUAUUAUAUGUAAUUUGCAUAUAUCGGCAAUUUAAUUAAAUUUUUAGAUAAUCAAGAUUUAUGGAAUGUGAGUUCAUGUCAUAUUCCAAGCUGAUCAUACCCUUAAUAUUGGGAUGUGACAAUAAGCACUAUAGGGGUUCAAAUCUACACGGCGCGCACGAGGUCAUGGCAAUUCACAAGCAAAAUUGUCAACAAAGGUCAUGAAACUUCUCUCCCAAACCAAACAUCCUAAUUAAUGAUCCCUCAUUGAUUAACAAGCGCUCUUUAUCUGCAGAACAAAAUCUUCCUGUCCAGAAAAUUAAAUGCAGUAAACAGGGGCAAUGUUACAUAGAAACUAUAAAAAUAUAAUUCCUCAUAAUGACAUCUUUGAAAGUGAAUUCCUAGUUAUAUAUGGUUAUUUUAGUCUUGUUUUGAGAGUUUCACUGAUGCAGUAUUACAUAAAAACCUUUGAUAAUAACGUUACAGAGCUUUUCUAACUGUAUAAAUAAACUUCUGAUAUUCUUUUUUCUUUUAUGUUACAAUCAGAAACACCUUUGAAUUUCCUCCGCUAACUUUGAGAUUGCAUUCUUCUCCUUUUUCUUGGAAUUUUAUGGUAAGUUAAGGAGAAAUAUCAUCAACCGGAACAAGAAGCAGCCACCUUGUAUCUUCUGAAAAUCUUACAGAAGUCACAAAGUCCCAGAAACAUUCAAUUAGUUUCUUUUUCUUCAUUGAAGGGUUUCUUUCAUUGUUGUUUCUCUGCUAGUUGGCAUGGAAGAGGAUCUUGUGAUUAUUUCUGCACUGAAAUUGAACCUUAUUGCUGAAGAAACUGAAGCAGAGGGACGAAGGAGCGGUGUAGUGGCUCUGCUUGAAGUUUCAUUUGCCAUGGGCGAUGGGGAAGCUGCGGAAGCACCUACUGGCUGCAAUUCUAUUCCAGUACCAGUGGCAAGGUCAGUGGUAAUUUGAGGGACAUCCAUCAAGCGAUCAUCUUCCUCAACAGGCAACACCGUACUUGCAUCAGUAUGUAUUGUGGAAUCAUCGGUGAACAUACCAUGCCUUCUCUUUUUUCUAGCCGCCUUCCCCCAUCCAUGAAUUGUCUCCCUUAUCCUCUGUGGAAUUAGUGCAGCCUUAUAGUUUGUUCCCAUCUGAAACAAACAAGGGAAAGAUGUUACCACUCAUCUAAUCAGCCUUCUCAACCAAAGCGGAGGGAAAGAAUCAGUGGCCGACCUAAGCAUAGUUGAGGGUGGGCAAGUGCCCCCACUCAACUUGGGAAAAUUUACAAGAGGUGAAUGUUUUAAAAAUUUGCCCUCAUUACCCUAAUAAUUUUGAACCCACUAAACCCAAACUAAAAUAUAUUUGAGUUCAAAAAAAUUUCAAGUCUUUUCCGUUUCACUUUAGUUCAAAAUGUUUUAAAUUUUGAGUACAUUAUAUUUAAAUUUAGAUUAUUUUUAUAAAAAUAUCAUUUUAAUUUUCCCUUUCCUAAUAUUAUUUACAAAACUAAAUAUUUAUUUUAUAAAUAUUAAAUUAUUUUUAAAUUUUAUUUAAUUAUGCUCCCAUUAGCUCAAGGUCCUGCUCCGCCACUGGAAAGAAUCAUCAUUAUUCCCAUAGAAAUGCAGUGAACUCGUUUUCUUACUAGUUGUUUGGUCACUCUUGCAAGGAGCAGGGGGGGCCAUUUCUUUCGCUAGUUGACAACUAUUAGAGACUGUUCAUUAGCCUUUGCUAUAAAGCUUCGGCUCGAGUUGACACAGUCAGCGGUAUCAGAAAAAUGCUUUGAUCAUUUGCAUUGCACAUGAUAUUACCUGUGUAACAAGUGCGUAAAGUGGCAAGGUGCUAUAGCUGCAGAGGAACUGUCCGGCAAACCUAUGAAAUUGCGUAAAAGAAAAGAAAAGGAAGCAUGUAACUGAUUUAACAUCAUCUAAUGUUAAAAGUAUCAUUGUGACAAAGUAAAUUUCUGCAUACCCCAAUGUUAGCCUUAAAUACACAAGGAGAUGAUUCCUAAUAAAGCAGGAAUUGUACCCAAAUUGCCACUGCAGUUAAAGAAGACCUUUCAAUCAACUGAAGGAAGAGAACAGGAAAAAUGUAUAUAUGUUUUUUUCUCUGCAUUUCUUGUUGUCUUCAUCAUGUUCCCUCGAGUGUUUUAACACAUCUAAGAGAAGCCACCUUUAUCUAAGUACAUGAACAGCCUUUGUUUUUAUUCAUUCAUUUAUUUAUUAUGGUC